AUUGAACGCUGGCGGCAGGCUUAACACAUGCAAGUCGAGCGAGCGGCGGACGGGUGAGUAAUGUCUGGGAAACUGCCUGAUGGAGGGGGAUAACCACUGGAAACGGUAGCCAAUACCGCAUACUCUCAGAUGUACCCAGAUGGGAUUAGCUAGUGGGUGGGGUAAUGGCUCACCUAGGCGACGAUCCCUAGCUGGUCUGAGAGGAUGACCGGCCACACUGGAACUGGAACCCGGUCCAGACUCCUACGGGAGGCGGAAGUGGGGAAUUUUGCACAAUGGGCGCAAGCCUGAUGCGGCCAUCCCGCGUGUGGGAGGAGGGCCUUCGGGUUGUAAAGCACGUUCAGCGAGGAGGCGGUACUCGCAGAAGAAGCACCGGCUAACUCCGUGCCAGCAGCCGCGGUAAUAC
rnacentral:rRNA from 1 species